rnacentral:rRNA from 1 species
GACGAACGCUGGCGGCGUGCUUAACACAUGCAAGUCGAACGGUGAAGCGCCUUCCUUUUUGGUGGGUGUGGAUGAGUGGCGAACGGGUGAGUAACACGUGAGUAACCUGCCCCCUUCUUCUGGAUAACCGCAUGAAAGUGUGGCUAAUACGGGAUAUUCUGGGUCUGUCGCAUGAUGGGUCUGGGAAAGAUCUUGUUUCGGUGGGGGAUGGGCUCGCGGCCUAUCAGCUUGUUGGUGGGGUGAUGGCCUACCAAGGCGGUGACGGGUAGCCGGCCUGAGAGGGUGGACGGUCACACUGGGACUGAGACACGGCCAAGACUCCUACGGGAGGCAGCAGUGGGGAAUAUUGCACAAUGGGCGCAAGCCUGAUGCAGCGACGCCGCGUGAGGGAUGGAGGCCUUCGGGUUGUGAACCUCUUUCGCCAGUGAAGCAGGCCUGCCUCGUUUGUGGGUGGGUUGACGGUAGCUGGAUAAGAAGCGCCGGCUAACUACGUG